rnacentral:rRNA from 1 species
UACAGAGGUGGCAAGCGUUGUUCGGAAUUACUGGGCGUAAAGGGCGCGUAGGCGGCCUUGUAAGUCCUGUGUGAAAUCCCCCGGCUCAACUGGGGAACUGCACAGGAGACUGCUUGGCUUGAGUUCGGGAGAGGGAAGCGGAAUUCCGGGUGUAGCGGUGAAAUGCGUAGAUAUCUGGAGGAACACCGGUGGCGAAGGCGGCAUCCUGGACCGGCAUUGACGCUGAGGCGCGAAAGCCAGGGGAGCAAACGGG